CCGUUGCCGGCGACCGGCGCACGGGUGAGUAACACGUAUGCAACCUGCCCGUGGCAGGGGGAUAAGCGGGGGAAACCCCGUCUAAUACCGCGUAACGCGGCCUUGGGGCAUCCCAAGGCCGCCAAAGGGAGCAAUCCCGGCCACGGAUGGGCAUGCGGCGCAUUAGCUAGUCGGCGGGGUAACGGCCCACCGAGGCGACGAUGCGUAGGGGUUCUGAGAGGAAGGCCCCCCACACUGGUACUGAGACGCGGACCAGACUCCUACGGAAGGCAGCAG
rnacentral:rRNA from 1 species